UACGUAGGCAGCGAGCGUUGUUCGGAGUUACUGGGCGUAAAGCGUGCGUAGGCGGUGUUCCAAGUCUGUUGUGAAAUCUCCCGGCUUAACCGGGAGGGUGCGGCGGAAACUGGGAUGCUGGAGUGCGGGAGAGGUAAGCGGAAUUCCCGGUGUAGCGGUGAAAUGCGUAGAUAUUAGGAAGAACACCGGUGGCGAAGGCGGCCCACUGGAUCGGUACUGACGCUGAGGUGCGAAAGCGUGGGGAGCAAACAGG
rnacentral:rRNA from 1 species